rnacentral:rRNA from 1 species
GAUGAACGCUAGCUACAGGCUUAACACAUGCAAGUCGAGGGGAAACGACAUCGAAAGCUUGCUUUUGAUGGGCGUCGACCGGCGCACGGGUGAGUAACGCGUAUCCAACCUGCCCAUCACUUGGGGAUAACCUUGCGAAAGUAAGACUAAUACCCGAUGAUAUCCCUAGAAGACAUCUGAAAGGGAUUAAAGAUUUAUCGGUGAUGGAUGGGGAUGCGUCUGAUUAGCUUGUUGGCGGGGUAACGGCCCACCAAGGCGACGAUCAGUAGGGGGUUCUGAGAGGAAGGUCCCCCACAUUGGAACUGAGACACGGUCCAAACUCCUACGGGAGGCAGCAGUGAGGAAUAUUGGUCAAUGGGCGAGAGCCUGAACCAGCCAAGUAGCGUGCAGGAUGACGGCCCUAUGGGUUGUAAACUGCUUUUAUAAGGGAAUAAAGUUAGUCUCGUGAGACUUUUUGCAUGUACCUUAUGAAUAAGGACCGGCUAAUUCCGU